AAAAAAUAAACAUUCCACUAAAAAUCUAAAAUCCGGCAUUACAGGAAAAAUGAGUAGCUCUUGCCUUUGUAAGAAAAAAUUAGAACGAGGAAAAGGUAGUUUUUUCGGCAUACCAAAGGAGGAGAAGACAAAAUAUGUGAGGCCCACUUUAAUGCGGAGCAUUUUAUAAAAGCGGGUAAAAAUAAAAUAUUAAUGCCAAUUGCUGAACCUGUCAUUGAUUAUACAUUUCCUCGCAAACCAGUGUAAGUUAUUUUAAAGUGAAUUUCUUAAUGGACUUAGUGAAUAGGUUCGCCAUUUAUUACAACGGUUAAAUUACACUAUGCAACACUCUCUUUGGGGUGGUAUAGGGUAUAAAAACUUUAAAAUAAAUAACUUUAAGUUAUCAUGAGAAUUUUUGUGUCUCUGCUAGUUAAAUUCGAAUUUAACUUCACACUUUGAUAUGUUUUUUAAAGAGUUAUUUGUGAUAUUAUUUACCUAUAGAACGGCAUCACUCGAACAUGAAAGAUGUUCUCAAGUUUCGAACAUCAUUUCCAAUGAACACUUUCUAAAUGUGAUUAGAACAUCCCCAAGUUUCAGAGGUAUGCACAACUGUUGACUCCGUUUUUUUGUAAAGAACUUCAACUCCCUAUUAACAAUAUUGAUACCUCUAUGAUUGACCUAUCUGUACCCAAAUCUUCCGCUAUAAAAGAACCUUCUAUAAUUGUAGAAUACUUAAAUGAACGCGAAACACAAACAGUAAGGGGAAUACACAUUUUUAAAGUAUUGAACUUUAUAUUUUAAAUUCCAACUACUUUUAUGCAUAUAGCCUAGUACAUUUUGCAGAUAGUAAGAACAAAUAUUUGGAAAGAAUUUGCGAGCUAGAAAAUGGAAACAAAGAACUAAAAUUGAAACUAGAUCAAACUAAUUUAGCUAUUGAAGCUAUGAGAAAAAUUUUUACAGAGGGUCAGAUAAGAAAAUUGAAACAACCAGGAGGAGUCCAGUGUCAGUGGACUGAUAUUUCUAGUGCAAUUUGUUUGCAUUCAUCUGGGCCACGAGCCUAUAACCACCUUUAUAAGAAAGGUCAUCCUCUUCCUAAUGUUUCUACAUUACAACGGUGGUGUCGAAAAAUAAACCUAACUGAAGGCAUUUUAUCCACAUCAAUCGAUUUUAUGCGGCAAGCUACCGAUAUGUCCCUUGAGGAUAGGAUUUGUGUAAUUGCAUUCGACGAAAUGAAGUUGCAGAAACCUUCGAAUAUGACACAUUAGGUGAUGUUGUCCGAAAACCGGCAAAUUACAUUCAGGUGGUUAUGGUUCGUGGCUUAAAAAAGUCGUGGAAGCAACCAGUUUUCAACGACUGUGAUUGCAAAAUGACUGUCGAAAUUCUAAAUAGCGUUAUUUGUGCCCUAAGUGACGCUGGUUUUCUUCUAGUAGCGAUGGUUUGUGAUAUGGGCCCUUGUAAUAGAAAACUGUUAAACGAUUUAGGUGUAUCUAAAGGUAAGCAUAACUUUGUAAUCAAAACUGAACAUACUCCAGACUCCACCUUCACAUUACAACCAUUCUUGAAAAUUCACACAAUACAUAAAGGAAUUUCAAUUUUAAAAUUCUGAUUUCCUUUAAUACACACCUUAAUUAAUAUUCUACAUAACUUACACAACAACUUAUUGUUAGUUUUAGAUACUAAUAUAAUAUCUUUAAUUUCAAAUCGUAACUUAAGAAAAACCAUGGUUUCCUAGUCCAGUUAAAUCCGAUUAGAAAAUAUUUACUUUUUAUGAUGCACCACAUCUUUUGAAACUAAUUAGGAACCGUUAUUUGGAUACCGGAAUAAUUUACAAGGGACAACACAUAAUAAUAAUAAUAAUAAUACUUUUGGAUACCCUGGGAAGGUUAUUUAACAAUUUUUAUUAACUGCCUUAUAACAAUUUAUCAAAGGAACCAUAUGGAAAAGAUCUUCAAAAUCAACAAAAUAAGUUGGCUCUGAUGAAUGAGUUGAUGUCAAUUCCACUUAUCCCUGGAAAGAAAUCAUUGGAGUUUUUCCAGAAGGGAAUUUUAAUAACAAAUAAAGCCCUAGAUAUGCUUUAUGAAUACUGCGCAACAAAGUUUGGCAUGUCAUACCUGUUAACAAGUCGCUUUAACCAAGAUGUUUCAGAAAAAAAAUUUGGAGCCAUAAGAAGUAAAGGUGGCCUUUAUGACCAUCCUUUCCCAAAAGAAUUCAAAUACAGGCUACGAAAAUACAUCUUGGAUAUAUGUAAAAUAAUUUUCUAUGUAAUAUUUGUAAAAAUAUUAAUUUUAAUUCAGCAAGAAACACAGAAUGCCUAAAAAACACUAGGAACGUGCAAAAUGACGAUACGAAUGGUUUACUUUUGAAAAUGCAACAAUUAAUACUGUGUGCGAAGAAAACGUUCUUGAUCCCGGCCAAGAAUUGGAAUUAGAAGAAAGCGAUUUGCAUGACCUAGAUGUGAAGACUUUUCAUGACAUUGGUGCCCUUCAAGAGGAUGCUUUAGAAUAUAUAUCUGGCUAUAUUAUUAGAAAGCUUAAUCUUGAAGGGUACGAAUGUAAUGAAAAUUCUUUCACAUGAGUCGACCAGGUGUCAAGGGGUUCCCUAAAAAAACCAGCUUACUAGUUUGUGGAAAACAUAAAAAAUUGGAAUAUGUAUUCCAUAAAAUAAAUAAAUCCCAAAUAGCACACUGUCGGAAUCUCCAUAAGCUCAUGGUCAGGGAAAGCCAGUCGAUUGAUCUGCCGAUAAUAUAAAAUCUUUUUUUUUUUUUUCAAAUGCCGGAUAUAUUUUCGUAUAAAACAUUUAAAUAAACGCCUCAAGCUUCAAAAACAAAAAUUAAUUGGCAGUAAUAAACCACUUAAAAUCAACUUGUAAACGUUCACCUCCAAUACCAAGACAUAACAUUCUCUCAGCUUGUAAACCAAAACCAAACAUUAAUCAAGAGUGUCAGUGUUAAGGACUCUAGUCAAGAAUCUGAACAGGCAAAUGUGACUGGUUGAUGUGAAUCAUGAAGUUGGUUGGCUGGAAGUUUAUAUUUGGUGACUCGUAAAUCCUUUUCUUUGAUGUUUUCUGUAUACCAAUAUCCUAAUAUAUUUUCUAUAUACUAUGAAUUUAAUCAUAAGUGAAAUAUAUUUAUAUUUUCCCAAGACAUCGAAUUUGUAAAAUUUUAAAAUUGAUUUUCAUUACGAAAAUUAAAUAAAAUUUGUUGUACAAUAGAUUGUGUUCGGAACUGUAUUUUCUUUGCCUUUGGUUUUACUGUCAACAAAAAAAAAACUUGACUCUAUUUACAAAACAAAACUACAUAUGAGAGUACAAAUUAAGUUUCAUCUUCAUGAAUUCCAUAAAGUCGCUAAUAAAGUCUGGACGUGUUAGUCUACUGCUUUAUGACUUACUUUAUUGGAAUCAUUUCGAAUCGAUACUUAACUGCUCAUAAAAUAAACACCGCAACCAGGCAUGGCUGUUACACAUUCCGAGACUUGUGUUAAUGAUAUAAUCCUUUGAGUAUUGAUAUGUAUGGCAUUUUUAAAGAAUGCUCAUACGUUAGGCACCAUAAAUGUGAGGAACUUUUGAGUAAGUGGUAUCGGCACGCUGGUGGUCGCACGGCAUUAGCUCGUAUGCCGUUCGUAUGGUAUGACAAUAUUGCAGCCAUCCUUGGUUCUAUUGAACUCGUAUUUGCUAUGACUAAAACCCCUAAACAAAACUUACCAGAAACCACAAUUCACACCAUUACCUUGUCUAAUUUAUCUUUCCAUGAUUGACAACAAUUGU
rnacentral:lncRNA from 1 species